rnacentral:rRNA from 1 species
CCUACGGGUGGCUGCAGUGAGGAAUAUUGGUCAAUGGCCGGGAGGCUGAACCAGCCAAGUCGCGUGAGGGAAGACGGCCCUACGGGUUGUAAACCUCUUUUGUCAGGGAGCAAGGUGCAGGUCGGGACCUGCUGUGAGAGUACCUGAAGAAAAAGCAUCGGCUAACUCCGUGCCAGCAGCCGCGGUAAUACGGAGGAUGCGAGCGUUAUCCGGAUUUAUUGGGUUUAAAGGGUGCGCAGGCGGAGGCACAAGUCAGCGGUAAAAUCGCGGGGCUCAACCCCGCUCCGCCGUUGAAACUGUGUCCCUUGAGUGCGCGAAGGGUAGGCGGAAUGCGUGGUGUAGCGGUGAAAUGCAUAGAUAUCACGCAGAACUCCGAUUGUGAAGGCAGCCUGCCAAGCCAUGACUGACGCUGAUGCACGAAAGCGUGGGGAUCAAACAGGAUUAGAUACCCGAGUAGUC